UACGGAGGGGACUCGCGUUGUUCGGAAUUACUGGGCGUAAAGCGCACGUAGGCGGCUUUGUAAGUCAGGGGUGAAAUCCCGGGGCUCAACCUCGGAACUGCCUUUGAUACUGCAAAUCUCGAGUCCGGAAGAGGUGAGUGGAAUUCCUAGUGUAGAGGUGAAAUUCGUAGAUAUUAGGAAGAACACCAGUGGCGAAGGCGGCUCACUGGUCCGGUACUGACGCUGAGGUGCGAAAGCGUGGGGAGCAAACAGG
rnacentral:rRNA from 1 species